rnacentral:rRNA from 1 species
GAUGAACGCUGGCGGCGUGCCUAAUACAUGCAAGUGAGCGAACGGACGAGAAGCUUGCUUCUCUGAUGUUAGCGGCGGACGGGUGAGUAACACGUGGAUAACCUACCUAUAAGACUGGGAUAACUUCGGGAAACCGGAGCUAAUACCGGAUAAUAUUUUGAACCGCAUGGUUCAAAAGUGAAAGACGGUCUUGCUGUCACUUAUAGAUGGAUCCGCGCUGCAUUAGCUAGUUGGUAAGGUAACGGCUUACCAAGGCAACGAUGCAUAGCCGACCUGAGAGGGUGAUCGGCCACACUGGAACUGAGACACGGUCCAGACUCCUACGGGAGGCAGCAGUAGGGAAUCUUCCGCAAUGGGCGAAAGCCUGACGGAGCAACGCCGCGUGAGUGAUGAAGGUCUUCGGAUCGUAAAACUCUGUUAUUAGGGAAGAACAUAUGUGUAAGUAACUGUGCACAUCUUGACGGUACCUAAUCAGAAAGCCACGGCUAACUACGUG